rnacentral:rRNA from 1 species
CGUAGGUGGCAAGCGUUGUCCGGAAUUAUUGGGCGUAAAGGGCGCGUAGGCGGUCCCUUAAGUCAGAUGUGAAAUCCCGAGGCUCAACCUCGGGCGUGCAUUUGAAACUGGGGGACUAGAGUGCAGGAGAGGUAAGUGGAAUUCCUAGUGUAGCGGUGAAAUGCGUAGAUAUUAGGAGGAACACCAGUGGCGAAGGCGACUUACUGGACUGUAACUGACGCUGAGGCGCGAAAGCGUGGGGAGCAAACAGGAUUAGAUACCCUGGUAGUCCACGCUGUAAACGAUGGAUACUAGGUGUGGGAGGUAUCGACCCCUUCCGUGCCGCAGUAAACGCAAUAAGUAUCCCGCCUGGGGAGUACGGCCGCAAGGUUGAUUA